GCCUGGUUAGCUCAGUCUAUAGAGCAUGAGACUCUGAAUCUCAGGGUCAUGGGUUCAUGUCCCAUGUUGGGUG
rfam:Mesocricetus auratus contig093725, whole genome shotgun sequence.